ensembl:lncRNA
AAGCAGAAAAAAAGUGCCGUGCCUAACCCACCGGCACAGCGAGCUGGGCGUGUUAGGGACCUGAAGGAAGCAGGGCGAGGGGGGAUCGCUCCUCUGCGUCGCUCCGAGCGCCGGGGGGCUGCGGCUGGGUGCGAGCCCAGCCCGGCCGGGGGCAGGAGAGCGGAUGCUGGGGCCUCACCUGCGGGGCUCGGGCUUGCGGCGUUCCUCCAGCUUGGCGGCGGGGGGGGGCCGCAGGGCGGCGGCGGAGCGGCGAGAGGAAAGCAGCGAACGGCAAGAGACGGCGGGGAAGCUUCAGCAGGCGCUGCGGGGCAUGGCCACCCGCACCCGUGCGCCCGGGGGCGCGCACAGCCGCCGGGCCGGGGGCUGCUAGCGGGAGGGCAGGGGGAACGGAGCCGCCGCCGGGAGAAGCGGCUGUUGUGGCGGUGGCCGGCCAGAGCCGCUUUUAAAGGCGCCCGCGGGCUCGGCCGUCCCCUCGCCCGCUCCCAUCCCGUCCCAUCCCAGCCCCCGCUCCCUCCCCGGCCGCUCGGGCAGCGGCGCGGCGUCACGGGGCCCCGGGGCGGGGAGCCCGGAGGAGGAGUCUGCGGGGCCGGGGAUGGGGCCGGGGGCCGGCCGAGCCUUCCCCCGCCUGCAGCCCGGUCGGGGAAAGCUCGGCCGGCCCCCAGCCCCAGCCCCGUUCCCGUUCCCGGCCCCGGGCAGGUGCCGGGGGCUGCCGGCGGCCCCUCGCAGCCGGGCGCGGCGCAAUUAGCGGUUUGCGAGCAAGAGCAGCUUGCAGCAAGACCUCGCUCAUCGCUGUACCCCAAAGCUUCAGGGACAGCAGCGGUCCCCGAAGAAGUCUGCAGUGAGGAAACCACACGAGAGCGAAACCCACCUGUCUCCAGGGGAAGGAGGCAAUUCUCUGAGUGGAAGUGAAGGGCAAGGACUGCCUGGUGCCCUGCAUGUGACAGCGGCGUGUUGUUGAGAAGCACCUCAGAAACCACCCAUCUGCAAGAAGUGCCUACAUGGCCAAGCUGCCACACACGAAUUAGGGAUGAAGCACGCAGUUGGCCUCAACAUCUACUGCCUUCUGCUAAGCAAAAUACAUUCAAGGCAUAUCAGCCUAAGACUAACGGAAAUUAAGGCACUGUAUGAAGUACAAAUAUGCAGAAACAAUAUCUUCUGCCUUAGAAACUAAUAAACUUGGGCUUCGCCUCAACAUUUAUGCAGCAACGGGAGAUGACUGUCUUGUGUCAACAUUCUGUUCUGUGUGCUUUAUGGGACUCGGGGCAUGACACAGUAUUGACAGAUAUGAAGGGACAGCAUGUUCUGGUGGAGCAUUUUAAGAAAAUAGUAGUGCUGUCAAAGGGCAAGCUUUCAUUUUAUGCUUACAAAACACCCGAAUAAAAUAUUUCCUUUGGAGCAUCUCACACUUCAUUUUAUUAAUAUAAACAGAAGAGGAUUAUCUCCAUCUUUCAGAGCCAUGAACUUUUCGCCUGUGUUUCCCCUCCUACCAUCUCAGUCCCAUCUCACAGCUCCCAUCCUUCCCCACCACAGGAGAGGGCAUCUUCAAGGCACCUCCUCAGUCUUCUAAGACUGGACCACUUUCUUAUGAAGAUCUUGGCUGCAGUGGAGCAACAAAGAGUUGCCUUCCAG